rnacentral:rRNA from 1 species
AUUGAACGCUGGCGGCAGGCCUAACACAUGCAAGUCGAACGGUAACAGGAAGCAGCUUGCUGCUUCGCUGACGAGUGGCGGACGGGUGAGUAAUGUCUGGGAAGCUGCCUGAUGGAGGGGGAUAACUACUGGAAACGGUAGCUAAUACCGCAUAAUGUCGCAAGACCAAAGAGGGGGACCUUCGGGCCUCUUGCCAUCGGAUGUGCCCAGAUGGGAUUAGCUUGUUGGUGGGGUAACGGCUCACCAAAGCGACGAUCCCUAGCUGGUCUGAGAGGAUGACCAGCCACACUGGAACUGAGACACGGUCCAGACUCCUACGGGAGGCAGCAGUGGGGAAUAUUGCACAAUGGGCGCAAGCCUGAUGCAGCCAUGCCGCGUGUAUGAAGAAGGCCUUCGGGUUGUAAAGUACUUUCAGCGGGGAGGAAGGGAGUAAAGUUAAGACCUUUGCUCAUUGACGUUACCCGCAGAAGAAGCACCGGCUAACUCCGU